GACGAACGCUGGCGGCGUGCUUAACACAUGCAAGUGGAGCGACGAACCAGGGCUUGCCCUGGGGCAGAGCCGCGAACGGGUGAGUAACACGUGGGUAACGUACCCCGAUGACUGGGACAACCCGGGGAAACCCGGGCUAAUACCGGAUGUGCACCCUCACAUCAGUGAGGUGUGUAAAGGAAGCUUCGGCCUCCGCGUUGGGAUCGGCCCGCGGCGCAUUAGCUUGUUGGUGAGGAACGGCUCACCAAGGCCGCGAUGCGUAGCUGGUCUGAGAGGACGAUCAGCCACACUGGGACUGAGACACGGCCCAGACUCCUACGGGAGGCAGCAGUGGGGAAUCUUGCGCAAUGGGCGAAAGCCUGACGCAGCGACGCCGCGUGAGGGAUGACGGCCU
rnacentral:rRNA from 1 species